AUCUUGUAUAUGGUUUUCUCCCAGCUGGAACAUUAUGUGAUAAAGUGUAGUUGAUCAUGGAAUCCAGCUGGUAGGGAGGCUGAGUCAGGAGGAUGCAAAUUUUGAAGUAAACAUGAGCAAUUGAUUGAAACUCUGGCUUGAAAUUUAAUAAAAAAGAUCUAAGAGUAUAGAUCAGUAGAGUGUGUGUCUAGCAUGCAUGAAGCUCUGGAUGAAAUCUCCAGUAUCAUUAAAAAAAAUGUUGGUUUUAAAAGGAUACUCUACAUUUAAAAAUCGUCAUUAAGCUGUUCCAAUUCUAAAUAUAUGGACACUUGACAAAUAAUCUCAAAAUUAAAAGCAGAGAACUGAUAGAAAUACAGAUAUCUGACAAACUCCCAUUGUGUUAGGAAAAAAAUGUUUACUUAUGGGUAAGUCAAGCACAUACACAAACACACACACAAAGUUCAAUAGAGACAAAAAAGUCUAGGUAUAAAACCACAAUUGACAUAACUGUACCACUCCUUGGUAUAUAUCCAAAAGAUUUAAAAUCAGCAUAGUAUAAUGACACAGACACAUCAAGUUCACAACAGCAAAAUUCACAAUAAUCAAGCUAUGGAGCCAACUACGAUGUCCACCAACAGUAGAAUGGAAAAAAAGAAAUGUAUAUAUACACAAUGAAGUUUUAUUUGUUAACGAACAAAAAUGAAAAUAUAGUAUUUGUAAGAAAGUGGAUAAAACUUGAGACCAUUAUGUCAGGAAAUUUAAGUCAAACUCAAAAGAUCAGGGACAUAUGUUCUCAUAUGAAAAAUGCUCUUUUGUUUGUUGUUGUUGUUUUGUUUUUGUUUUUGUAUCUGGCUCAACCAGUAAGCCUCAUGCACAGCCCUUUUCAUUAUCUUUUCUUAAAAAUUUUGAGACAGGGUCUCUCUAAAUUGCAUAUGGUAUUCCUAUAUGGGUGCAGCCAGCUUGAACUUGCAAUCCUCGUACCUCAGCCUCCUCUGUAGCCAUUGGGAUUGCAUAGGGCACAGCACCAUGCCCAGCUGAAUUACUCAUUUAAUAAGAUUAUGUUGACCAGCCAGCACUGAAUCCAAUAGUUACUGAAUUUAUUCUGAAAUAUAUGUUGAGCAUUUUCUAGGGCCUAAAUUAUACCCUAAUAUAGCAUGUACACUGUCACAAUGAAAGCGUUUAUUAAACCAUGAAUAAAAAAGAUAUUUUAAUCCAAUAAAGUGUGUUCUUAACUGGGAACAGAAUGGCACACACAAUAAUAGGAGCUACUCUGAAGCCUGAAGCCCGAGGAUGCCAGUUUAAGGACAGUCUCAGCAAUUUGGGGAAAGUCUGUCUCAAAAUAAAAUAAAAAGUGUGAGAAUGAAACUCAGUAACAGAGUUAAAGGACACUCACAGAGUCCAAAGUCCAAAAACAAUGACAAACACCAGAAUAUCACCAAAAGAUUUAUUGUCAUUAUCAUGAAGCAAACUGGCAAUGCUGUCUCUGAGCGGAGAGCAGCAGCAUGUGGCACACACAGAGCAGCUUUAUAGCCCUCAAGAGGAAUUUCAUCAGCUACUUAGUAAUUAUAUCAUAAACUGGGGUGGUGUUGAUCUUUUAGCAGACUGUUUUGAGAAGGGCAGAAUUGCUACUUAUGCAGUAGAGGGGAGAAACAAAGAAUGUCCAUGCUCUUCGGCCCUUUUAAAUGCUUUCUUCACUCAAAUUACUCAAUACAGUUUCACUCUAUAGGUUCUUAAUCAAGAAAAUGAGAAUCCUUAUUCUCAUUCACAGCAAACAAUUCUAGAUUAAUUACUUCACAGCAAAAAAUUCUAGAUUAAUUCUAAGCACUGUAAAACACACUUAAUCAUGAUAGGCAAAUGACAGACAUUUCCUCUGCAUUUUAAGUUCAAAAAUAUUAAGCCUUAGGGUUUACGUACAGGAGAUGCACACCCUCAGACUGCGGGGACCAGAACCAGGACUAAGGCAGGCUUUUCCUGGAGUGGAGUGGAUGACUUGUUGAGGAGGGGGUCAUAGCAAGGAGUUGAAGCUCUCACCAAGG
rnacentral:lncRNA from 1 species